UACAGAGGGUGCAAGCGUUGUUCGGAAUUAUUGGGCGUAAAGCGCGUGUAGGCGGCUUUGCAAGUCGGGGUGUGAAAGCCCUCAGCUCAACUGAGGAAGUGCGCCCGAAACUGCAUGGCUUGAGUACCGGAGAGGAUGGUGGAAUUCCCCAAGUAGAGGUGAAAUUCGUAGAUAUGGGGAGGAACACCGGUGGCGAAGGCGACCAUCUGGACGGAUACUGACGCUGAGACGCGAAAGCGGUGGGUAGCAAACAGG
rnacentral:rRNA from 1 species